GGACAACCCUGAUACCAGCCAGUUCCGAGCUGCUAUGAGACAGAUUAUGGUCGACGCUGUGAUGCGGCCGGGCAAAUACUCGAACUGCGAGGAGGACGUCGAUGAAUUUCUCAUCUCACUUAAGAACUCCACAUCUGCUAAGCUGACACUGCUUCCCAGCCUUCCUUCUGAGUGUGACCCAAACAGCUGUAGCACCUCCUGUAUGUCCGCUAACGUACAGUCUGUCGUCG